rnacentral:rRNA from 1 species
UACAGAGGGUGCAAGCGUUGUUCGGAAUUAUUGGGCGUAAAGCGCGUGUAGGCGGCUUUGCAAGUCGGGUGUGAAAUCCCUCAGCUUAACUGAGGAAGUGCGCCCGAAACUGCAGAGCUUGAGUGCCGGAGAGGAUGGCGGAAUUCCCCAAGUAGAGGUGAAAUUCGUAGAUAUGGGGAGGAACACCGGUGGCGAAGGCGCUCAUCUGGCCCAAUACUGACGCUGAGGCGCGAAAGCUAGGGGAGCAAACGGG